AUUGAACGCUGGCGGCAGGCCUAACACAUGCAAGUCGAACGAGUGGCGGACGGGUGAGUAAUGUCUGGGAAACUGCCUGAUGGAGGGGGAUAACUACUGGAAACGGUAGCUAAUACCGCAUACCAUCGGAUGUGCCCAGCUGGGAUUAGAUAGUAGGUGGGGUAACGGCUCACCUAGGCCACGAUCCCUAGCUGGUCUGCGAGGAUGACAAGCCACACUGGAACUGAGACACGGUGCAGACUCCUACGGGAGGCAGCAGGGGGGAAUAUUGCACAAUGGGCGCAAGCCUGAUGCAGCCAUGCAGCGUGGAUGAAGAAGGCCUUCGGGUUGUAAAGUACUUUCAGCGGGGAGGCGUUACCCGCAGAAGAAGCACCGGCUAACUCCGUGCCAGCAGCCGCGGUAAUAC
rnacentral:rRNA from 1 species